AUACGGAGGAGUCCAAGCGUUAUCCGGAUUUAUUGGGUUUAAAGGGUGCGUAGGCGGUCCUAUAAGUCAGAGGUGAAAGACGGCAGCUUAACUGUCGCAGUGCCUUUGAUACUGUAGGACUUGAAUCUAUUUGAAGUGGGCGGAAUAAGACAAGUAGCGGUGAAAUGCAUAGAUAUGUCUUAGAACUCCGAUUGCGAAGGCAGCUCACUAAGUUAGUAUUGACGCUGAUGCACGAAAGCGU
rnacentral:rRNA from 1 species